UACAUGUGGGGCAAGCGUUGUUCGGAAUUACUGGGCAUAAAGGGUGCGUAGGCGGCUUGUUAAGUCAGGGGUGAAAGUUUUCGGCCCAACCGGAAAAUUGCCUUUGAUACUGGCGAGCUGGAGUGCGUGAGGGGUGACCGGAACGAGUGGUGUAGCGGUGAAAUGCGUAGAGAUCAGGAGGAACACCCGUGGCGAAGGCGGCUCUCUGGUCGACAUCUGACGCUGAGACGCGAAAGCGUGGGGAGCGAACGGG
rnacentral:rRNA from 1 species